rnacentral:rRNA from 1 species
AAAGUCGUAACAAGGUCUCCGUAGGUGAACCUGCGGAGGGAUCAUUACACAAAUAUGAAGGCGGGCUGGAACCUCUCGGGGUUACAGCCUUGCUGAAUUAUUCACCCUUGUCUUUUGCGUACUUCUUGUUUCCUUGGUGGGUUCGCCCACCACUAGGACAAACAUAAACCUUUUGUAAUUGCAAUCAGCGUCAGUAACAAAUUAAUAAUUACAACUUUCAACAACGGAUCUCUUGGUUCUGGCAUCGAUGAAGAACGCAGCGAAAUGCGAUAAGUAGUGUGAAUUGCAGAAUUCAGUGAAUCAUCGAAUCUUUGAACGCACAUUGCGCCCUUUGGUAUUCCAAAGGGCAUGCCUGUUCGAGCGUCAUUUGUACCCUCAAGCUUUGCUUGGUGUUGGGCGUCUUGUCUCUAGCUUUGCUGGAGACUCGCCUUAAAGUAAUUGGCAGCCGGCCUACUGGUUUCGGAGCGCAGCACAAGUCGCACUCUCUAUCAGCAAAGGUCUAGCAUCCAUUAAGCCUUUUUUUCAACUUUUGACCUCGGAUCAGGUAGGGAUACCCGCUGAACUUAAGCAUAUCAAUAA